AUUGAACGCUGGCGGCAGGCCUAACACAUGCAAGUCGAACGAGAGGCGGACGGGUGAGUAGUGUCUGGGCAACUGCCCGAUGGAGGGGGAUAACUACUGGAAACAGUAGCUACUACCGCAUACCAUCGUAUGUGCCCAGAUGGGAUUAGCUAGUGGGGGGGGAAACGGCUCACCUAGGCGACGAUGCCUAGCGGGGCUGAGAGGCUGACCAGCCACACUGGAACUGAGACACGGUCCGGACUCCUACGGGAGGCAGCAGUGGGGAAGAUUGCACAAUGGGCGCAAGCCUGAUGGAGCAAUGCCGCGUGUAGGAAGAAGGUUUUCGGGGUGUAAAGUACUUUCAGUGGGGAGGCGUUACUUAAAGAGGAAGCACCGGCUAACUCCGUGCCAGCCGCCGCGGUAAUUC
rnacentral:rRNA from 1 species